AAAGGGCUUCUGAAAAUGAUAACAAUGUAUGCAAUCCAGCCUCAUAGUCACGAAAUCAACAGAUAUUCUUUGAAGCUACUUGCACUAAUAAGUUGUUGAAUCACCGAUAUUGCUUAAAAUUUUCAUUCUCAAUCUAUCCACUGUUAACUUGAAAUUAAAUGAUAUAAAACUCAAACCAAGAACAAACAUAGGUCAAAUCAUUUAAUUUUCUUUCUACGUUUUCUCAGCAACCAAACAAAAGAUGAGAUCAAAAGAACACACACAAAAAAAAAAUCAACUUUCUUCUUUUACACAAAUAGAUAAAUCAAAUGGAUCCGCUUCAAAAAUUUAAAAGAAAUCCCAUAU
rnacentral:misc_RNA from 1 species